rnacentral:rRNA from 1 species
UACGUAGGGGGCAAGCGUUUGUCCGGAUUUACUGGGCGUAAAGAGCGUGUAGGCGGCCAAGCAGGUCCGUUGUGAAAACUGGAGGCUUAACCUCCAGACGUCGACGGAAACCGCGUGGCUAGAGUCCGGAAGAGGAGAAUGGAAUUCCCGGUGUAGCGGUGAAAUGCGCAGAUAUCGGGAGGAACACCGGUGGCGAAGGCGGUUCUCUGGGCCUGACCUGACGCUGAGGAGCGAAAGCGUGGGGAGCGAACAGG